rnacentral:ncRNA from 1 species
UCUCUCCAUUUAGGCGUUUUGAAGUUAAGAGGAAAUCUUUUUGUCAAAUUUGAAUGAAUGGAUAUAAAUCUAGCUAUAUGCUGGAAAAUCUUGUUAAAUAGUAAAGUACUGGUAUAUAUUUUUAUUACCAGUAAAAAUCUUUACUCUGAGAUUAUCAGCAGGAAAGGCCUUAUGAGAGAAAUUAUCUUAUAAGGAAUCCUCACAGGCCAUACGCUAGAAUCCCGUAAAAAGGGAUAAGAUAUGGUCGGAUCCUUACGGCGACGUAGGG